CAGUCGCCACGGUAAUACGAAGGGGGCUAGCGUUGCUCGGAAUCACUGGGCGUAAAGGGUGCGUAGGCGGGUCUUUAAGUCAGGGGUGAAAUCCUGGAGCUCAACUCCAGAACUGCCUUUGAUACUGAAGAUCUUGAGUUCGGGAGAGGUGAGUGGAACUGCGAGUGUAGAGGUGAAGUUCGUAGAUAUUCGCAAGAACACCAGUGGCGAAGGCGGCUCACUGGCCCGAUACUGACGCUGAGGCACGAAAGCGUGGGGAGCGAACAGGAUUAGAUACCCCUGUAGUCCCUGUCUCCUAUAC
rnacentral:rRNA from 1 species